UUAAAAAAAAAAAAAAAAAAAAAAAAAAAAAGCAGCUUAUUGAUUCCCCUAGAUCGACCCACCUUCUCACCAGGCUGGAGGGUUCGCCGCCGCCCACCCAGCCCCCUUUCACCCUGCCCCCCUCCUUCCUUUAAACUGACACCUGGUUUAUUUAUUUAUAUGCAAUAAUUACAAUUAAAUGCUGCGCCCCCGCCGCUAUGCCGCGCUCCUCCCCUCCCGCCGCCGCCGGGCGCGGGGCGGUCGGUGCCCCCGGCUCUGUCCGCCGGGCUCCAGCCGCCCGGGCGCGGGGAAGUUUCCCGGGGGCCGCCCACCGCCACCUGCACAGUGCGGCCUCGCCCCGCUCCCACCGAAGCCUUUACGAUCACUGCGAGUUGGCGUUUAAUUUCCACUCCUGCACAACAUUUUAAAAAGCAUGUUAUUGCAUUACACACAUCUACAUGUGUGUGCGUGUGCACAGACAGACAUCCACGUUUAUAUCCCCGCGAGCUCGCGCCACGGCACGGCGGGCGCUCUGCCCCCAGACCAUAAAUGCUCCGCUGUGUGGGGCUACAGGCCCGGGCUGCCCUCCGCGCUGGGACAGACAUAUAUUGAUCUGUGCGCAGAAGUCACAGUAUAGUUCAGAGACUCUGACCAAACAAGAUUUCCCUCCGCCGCCGCUUCUCCAACUUGGCCCAUUUAAACAGCAGAGGCGCUUGCAAGCGCCGCGCCGGCGGCGGGCGGGGGGUGAGCGACGGACGGCGCGGCCAGCACCAGCAGCCGCCAGCCCGGCGGGGCGGCCCGGGGGCCCCGACUUCGGCGGGCGGCGGCGGCGGGGGGGCACGGGCACCCAGCGGGGGGUGUGCUCCCGUGCGGGAAGGCCGGCCGCUUGCUCUCCUGGGCAGGCUGCUCUUGUCACCAUACCUCGAGAAGGCGGGCAGAGCCUUCUCGUUUCCCAUGUGGUGAUGUAGCAAGGGUCAGGAGACACGGGUAUAAAUUUGUUUUCCAUUGCGAGCUGUGGCAGGCAUGGCACAAGGUCCAUGUGAAACUGCCCCGAGAGGACAACACGGACCCAAAAUUAAGUUGCACAGUUGUUACAGAGAUUUGUCACAUCAACAAGACGAGUCCCCUACCUUUGGAUAGUAAGUAGGAUCGACUACGCAGAAAGAAUCCCACCUAGAAGGGAAAGAAAAAUAAAUUAUCUCCUUAAACACAGUACAAGGAAUAUGCCCCACAAGUCUUACAAGGUGGAAGAACAGCAAGAGUUCUGUAUGGGUUCUGUCUUAAGAGUUCCCAGAACACCACCAUGAAGUUCUUUGUCGCAAGGUGUGUCUCAUUACUUGCUCUCUUACUAGGGGACCUUGUAGAAAGUUGAACUUGCCUUCCAGCCAGCCCGACAUGGACUUGCUGGUGUGACAAUCAGCCAUUGACAUAGUUAGCAGGGUACUUUCUGAGCAAUAAUAGCACUUCAGCACCAUCUCUCAGAUGAUCUCAGAGCAUUCACAGACAAGGAGAAAGAACACCACCUCCUCCUCACACCUUUUUGAGGAAGCUGCUUUUAGCUUCGUUUUACCAGUGGAGAAGCUGAAGCGUAAAGAGGCUUGAGAUGGAGAACAUGAAUGCUGUACUCACACCGGGGUUAUGCAGUACUGAGUCCCACUAUGAGUGAAUACAGGCUAAUGCAGGUGAUGAGUUCACAUCUGUGCAUCCAGUGAUCUUCCUGAGAUCUCACAGGUGUUAUUUUCUGCCACCACCCCCUCCCCCCCAAGCUCUCAGUGCUAAGUACCCCUCUCUACAAAAACUCCACUAAUGGACCACUUAGGGGAACUUCUAUACCAGUCAAGGUGGAGGAAACUGCCUCUCUGGGGUUCAGCAGAUAUGGGAAUAGAAUCCAAGCCCCAAACCUCAGUUUUCUCUUGACGCUACUUGACCAUGAUCCUUGUUUCUUGCCUAUUUAUUCUCAAGAAAUGCCAGCUCUGGGAGGCAUCCUUGCUUCUUGCUCUAAUGAAGAAGGCAGAUGUACAUACCCAUCAAACCCUCUCAUUUAGCCUUUCAGGCUUAGGCUCUUACUCUUAAUGCUUCUGAUUGCUCAAGAUGACGGGGAAAAUCACUUUCUAUUAUCACCUAAUGAACCAAGGAAAAUGCUUGGAAGCAACUCCAGGAGACACAAGGCAUUCUCUGUGAGAGGGUGUAAGUGGCUUCUGGAUGGAGGUCAGGUGAGAAGGCCAGACAGUGAGAAGAACUGCUUGCUCUUACGCUCCCAGAAAACCAUGCCCGGCACACCUAGAACUAGACAGAGCUCUCUGCAAAGGCUUGAGAACUACUUCAGACCUCCUUUGACUCCACCUUCUUUGUAACUUGGCUUCAUGGGACUGAUUUCUUUUCACAUUUUACAAGGGAGUGGGUAUUUUUUUCUCAAGCCUUCUUUCAUUUUUACAGCCACAAGGGUUACUACUCUUCUUCCACCUCUUUUCCUUAUGGCAACUUCAUCUCCAAAUGCAGAGAAACCUUGGCCGCAGCCUUCUCCAAAGAAAAGUCUCCAUGCUUCCUCCAGGAGGGGUCACAGGAGAGCAGAACAAGAGUGGCCUUCAUCCUCCAGGAACAAAUCCUUCCAUGGUACGUACUUCGAGACUUCUCAGAUCUCUGUGGUUUGGAUGCACACUCAAACCUAACAGCACUUUGCAUUACCAUCCAGUCUGCCUGUAUUAAAGAGCUGUAAUGAAACCUUUCCUAAUCCAGAGAACUUCUGUUUACCUUUUAUUUCAAAGGAAAAGGUGACUUGCCAUGGGGUUUUCCUACUGCAUGUCAGCUCAGUUGCUUUUUACCUCUACAGAAACUGGGUUCAAAUCUGGACCUAGUCAUAAGUAACUGAGUAUGCUGAGUUUUCGUUCUAGAAGGGCAGCACCUACUUGGCUGUGUUUUAUUCCUGGAAAAAAACAGGCACCUGAUGCCAGUCGUGAUAUAGGUGUACACUGGCCAAGCGGUGUAGAGGUCCAGCAGUGGAAGAGCGAGGCCUCAUUUUGGUGGCUUCAUACAAGGUGCAUGGCUUGGAUCAGGCAGGGUUUCUCACUCAGACCUAAGGUGUUCUGGCAGAACUCAGUGAAGUUUAGGGGGAUUUAAGAGGCACAGAGGCAGGCUGAUUCUAUCAGUCUCUUACAAGCACUAAAAGUUCCUAACAAGUCUUCCCUGCUCCUCUCCACUGUAAUAUAAAGAACAAGGGCUCUGCCUGGAUGCUGGAGUCCAACAGCAGGAGUCUGAUGUUGUUCAGCUCCAGUCUCUUAACAGUAGAGCUUUCAGGAUUAGUGUAAACAGAUUCACCACUGGAGACCAGAUCAGAGAGAUCCAAGCAAGUCCAUGGACAUGUGGUUAGAGAAAGAACCAGGUAUGCUUUGCAAAUUCCACUGAGGGAUUGGGACAUGUUUUUAAGUCUGGGGGCACAAAUCACCGUGUCUUUUUGUUGUGUGCUUCAAUGGCACCUAGCAAAGGGAAAGCAUGAUUCUUAACUUGCUCACAGAGGCACUACUACAGUAAACAUAGUACAUAGUGAUCAUUUUCCAACAUUUAAUUCUCCACCUCUGGAAUACAUCAUGUUGGACUGAAAGAAAAGCUAGAUCUUUUAUUUCUCUCAGGUCAAAUGUGUUAACAAGUGCAAAGAGCUAGCUGUGCUGUAAAGCAUUUUACAAGAAGAGAUGGUGCUCCAAGUACAGGUCUGAAAGUUAAGAGAUAAUGAUUUUUCUCUUUCUAACACCACUUUCAAGGAUAAGUUACUACUUGUCCUGGAUAUGUCUCCCUUAUUCUACCUGUAAAAGGAGGGGAAGCUUCCUAAAUGUAAUUUGUUAUUUACAUGUGUGACAGUAAACUUCUGAGUUUCUAACUGAGAUGAAAGGUCCUUUGUGUUUUUAAAAUUCAUUGCAGAUGCAGGCCCUGCCCCUUUACAGGAAAGACAGGUUGAGGCUGGGGGGAGAGAGAUGCCCAGGUACAUGUAAAAUGACCAGCCUGAGUUUAGAAACUAAUCCAGAACAUCUGUCUUUGCAGGAUUCCAGCACAGAUGCUAUACAUGCCGUCCCUGGCACCACUUAGCCUCUGCCUAAGCUAAGCUAAAUGAACAGAUGAUAACAUUCUGUCAGCACAGCAGCAUCUAUAGCACUGGUCUUGCUGACCUUAUUAUAGCAGGUAUGUAGUCUCACAGUCCAAAACUGUGCUGGAAAAGUUCUGUCCUGUACACCAGAAGAGCUUAGACAAUAAAGCAGGACUUUCAACAAUUGGUGUAGUAUCCAACUGAAUCAUGUUGUUUCCCCCAAAGAAGACGGGGUGGUUAACCUUUAAGACUUCAAGUUAACAGCUCCUUUCCCCACCUUACCACAUAAUUGCCCUGACAGUAUCACAUCAAUGAUGGAAAGCAACAGCUCUGUCCCUCCCAAAUCAUCGAGCCUACCAAAAGACAGGGAAGGAGACCAGAGAGCCACACCACCACCUCCUGAGCCAGGCAGAUUCACACCUUCCUCAGUCUCUUUCACAGUCUCAGAGGACAUCAAGGCUGUCUAACAGCCAGGAUUCACUGCAUUUUGUCUUUCAUUCCUUGCCAGGUGUAGCCCAGCUCUAUGCUCACUGCAUGUGAACAGCCAGCCAUACUGCCAGAGUCAUGCUCAGAGGGAUCAGUUUUGGAGGUACAAAUGAGUGUUGAGGUGAGCUGCAGCCUCAUCCUUUUGCAACCAGCCUCCGAGGGCAGCUCUGCCUGGCUACAGACCUCACCAGUCGACUUCCAAGCUCAUGACUAAGGAAAGGAUGAGUUUGUUCGGGGCAGCAGGAGUUUCAGCUAACUGAUGGACGCCAGUGGAUGCUGGGAUGCUCUGCUGUAACAGUCUCUCCAGCUCCAGCAAAUCAAAUCACGAAUAGAAAUACAUUA